rnacentral:rRNA from 1 species
CCUACGGGAGGCAGCAGUGGGGAAUAUUGCACAAUGGGGGAAACCCUGAUGCAGCGACGCCGCGUGAGUGAAGAAGUAUUUCGGUAUGUAAAGCUCUAUCAGCAGGGAAGAAGAAAGACGGUACCUGACUAAGAAGCCCCGGCUAACUACGUGCCAGCAGCCGCGGUACUACGGAGGGGGCAAGCGUUAUCCGGAUUUACUGGGUGUAAAGGGAGCGUAGACGGCUGUGCAAGGCUGAAGUGAAAGCCCAGGGCUCAACCCUGGGACUGCUUUGGAAACUGUGGAGCUAGAGUGCUGGAGAGGUAAGUGGAAUUCCUAGUGUAGCGGUGAAAUGCGUAGAUAUUAGGAGGAACACCAGUGGCGAAGGCGGCUUACUGGACAGUAACUGACGUUGAGGCUCGAAAGCGUGGGGAGCAAACAGGAUUAGAUACCCCAGUAGUC